UGCAUUGGUAUUAUUUAGGUCUCAAAUCAAAAGAAAGGAAAUCAAGAAUCUGCUUAAAUUUUGUCAAAUGACCUUUUAUGAGCUAUUAAGCCUUGUAAUGUUAAAAGAUAAAUAGGUGUUAUGGGGCAAAAUAUUUUACCUUGUAUGGUAUGGAAAAACACUAAGGAGUCCGAACAUUUGACACUCAUUCCAAAACUUCACCUGAGUACAUCCUUAACAUUAGUUGAAUUGACAAAUGAGUUGUGUCAGAUAGAAAUUGACCGUAUGCAGACGAAUAUCAAUACAUCUGUGUCGAAAAAAAAAACCUCCAUGCAAAGUCUAUAAUAAUAAUUGAUUGAAAACUGAGUUGAUAGGACCCUACAAAAAAGACUAAAAUUCAUCUUUUAUUUCAUAUUUGAAUGUUUGAAAAUCAAACACAGUCUUACACAUGUACAAAAUGUAAAUGAAUAUGUGUACUUGCAUUAUUAUAGGUCGAUUUCUUUCCAAUGCAGCUCAAAUGUUGAUACAAUCUGUACAUUUUAGACUAAAAUUAAGAUCAGAAUUGUCAGUUGUAA
rnacentral:lncRNA from 1 species